rnacentral:rRNA from 1 species
UACAGAGACUGCAAGCGUUAUUCGGAUUCACUGGGCUUAAAGGGUGCGUAGGCGGCGCAGUAAGUUGGGUGUGAAAUCCCUCGGCUUAACCGAGGAAUUGCGCCCAAAACUACUGUGCUCGAGGGAGGUAGAGGUGAGCGGAACUUAGGGUGGAGCGGUGAAAUGCGUUGAUAUCCUAAGGAACACCGGUGGCGAAAGCGGCUCACUGGACCUCUUCUGACGCUGAGGCACGAAAGCUAGGGUAGCAAACGGG